UGGGGAAUUUUGGACAAUGGGCGAAAGCCUGAUCCAGCAAUGCCGCGUGUGUGAAGAAGGCCUUCGGGUUGUAAAGCACUUUUGUCCGGAAAGAAAUCCUUGGCUCUAAUACAGUCGGGGGAUGACGGUACCGGAAGAAUAAGCACCGGCUAACUACGUGCCAGCAGCCGCGGUAAUACGUAGGGUGCAAGCGUUAAUCGGAAUUACUGGGCGUAAAGCGUGCGCAGGCGGUUUGCUAAGACCGAUGUGAAAUCCCCGGGCUCAACCUGGGAACUGCAUUGGUGACUGGCAGGCUAGAGUACGGCAGAGGGGGGUAGAAUUCCACGUGUAGCAGUGAAAUGCGUAGAGAUGUGGAGGAAUACCGAUGGCGAAGGCAGCCCCUGGGCCAAUACUGACGCUCAUGCACGAAAGCGUGGGGAGCAAACAGGAUUAGAUACCCUGGUAGUCCACGCCCUAAACGAUGUCAACUAGUUGUUGGGGAUUCAUUUCCUUAGUAACGUAGCUAACGCGUGAAGUUGACCGCCUGGGGAGUACGGUCGCAAGAUUAAAACUUAAAGGAAUUGACGGGGUCAUAGCUG
rnacentral:rRNA from 1 species